rnacentral:misc_RNA from 1 species
UCCGGUUUAUCACCGGAUUAGAUACCCUGGUAGUCCACGCCGUAAACGAUGGGCACUAGGUGUGGGAGGUGUCGACUCCUCCCGUGCCGGAGCUAACGCAUUAAGUGCCCCGCCUGGGGAGUACGGCUGCAAGGCUAAAACUCAAAGGAAUUGACGGGGACCCGCACAAGCAGCGGAGCAUGUGGUUUAAUUCGACGCAACGCGAAGAACCUUACCUGGGUUUGACAUGUUCCUGACCGCCGUGGAACCACGGUUUCCCCUUGUGGGCAGGAUCACAGGUGGUGCAUGGCUGUCGUCAGCUCGUGUCGUGAGAUGUUGGGUUAAGUCCCGCAACGAGC